rnacentral:misc_RNA from 1 species
AACCUUAUGGACCUGCGGGCGUAUACCUGCGGAAGGAUCAUUACAACAAGGUUCCCUGGCCCUCGAAGCUUCGGCGGAGGGGCGCUACAGCCUGACUUUAUACCCACCCUUUGCCUAUGUGUACCCCUAUUGCUUCCCUCGGCGGGCUCGCCCGCCGACAGGAACCAACUAAACCCUUUGCAUUAUACAUUUAACACUUCCGAUACAAAACCAAAUUAUUACAACUUUUAGCAAUGGAUC